rnacentral:piRNA from 1 species
UGCCUUUGCAGAUCUCUUAGAAGCUGGC